GAUGAAGAACGCAGCGAAAUGCGAUACGUAGUGUGAAUUGCAGAAUUCAGUGAAUCAUCGAAUCUUUGAACGCACAUUGCGCCCGUCAGUAUUCUGGCGGGCAUGCCUGUUCGAGCGUCAUUACGCCCCUCAAGUCCCCUGUGGACUUGGUGUUGGGGAUCGGCGAGGCUGGUUUUCCAGCACAGCCGUCCCUUAAAUUAAUUGGCGGUCUCGCCGUGGCCCUCCUCUGCGCAGUAGUAAAACACUCGCAACAGGAGCCCGGCGCGGUCCACUGCCGUAAAACCCCCCAACUUUUUAUAGUUGACCUCGAAUCAGGUAGGACUACCCGCUGAACUUAAGCAUAUCAAUAAGCGGAGGA
rnacentral:misc_RNA from 1 species